rnacentral:sRNA from 1 species
CCCCCAUCCCCCCCCCCUACUGAAAAUUCCUACAAAACGAGAGAUCACUGACAGUCUUUAGGCAAAAUUCAUCCACUUGAGGUGCCUUAUCCCCGGUCUUGAUAGGCACUAUGAUAAUGCUGCUUAAGAAAUACAAUACCAUCAUCCUGAACCUUUCUUUUGAUCUUUCACAUGACGGUACCAUUCUGAUAUAGGUCAAAUUGCCUUAAGACCACUCUCUCAAAUAAGAGAUCGAUUGUAGCACUUAAGGGUCGAAUUCCACAAUGCUCUCGGAUCACACAAUAGACCAAGGUUUUGAAUUAAGCUACGUAAGAUAGUAAUGAAGAUAAAAAGAAACAAAAGAAAGCAAUAGCAGAUUGUGAGGUUAUAAGACAAGAAAGUAAAAACAUCAAGCUUAGGGUAUUCUCACGAAACUAUUGGUUAGUAGAUCUAAUAAGAGCUAGGUUGUUAUCGAACCAUUCUUAAACUCAAACUCUAAUUAUGGAAUAACCGGUGGUGUUCCACGAAACUUCCUAUGCCUGUAGCUAAGAAUAACCAGAGAAGCCGAGAGAUCUUUAACCUAAACAUGCAUUCUAAAGGAGUUCAGUUGUUCAACUUAGUAGAUAGGCCGAUUCUUAUUACACACCUAUAAACCAGGUUCAUCAAAUUAUAGAUCCAACUACAUAUAUCUAUGGUGGUCAUAUCUAUUGUCUGGAUUCAAGUUCUAGGUGAUCAAUCUAGAUCUCGCAUUAAGAACAAUUAACGAUGAAGAAUUCUACAGAUAACCUAGCAAGAGGGCGAUCUAUUAAACCAUAUGAAUCCCUAAUGAGAAACCCUAAACCUAACAAGUGGUUUACUCAGACAUGAUCAAAGAAACACAAAUCAUAGUCUGAAUAAGAAAUCAAUAAUAGCAAGAGAAAGAGUAAAGAAGAUCUUUUCCAAAGAGAGUCUCCACAGGGUUUUGCUCCCAAAGUACAAAAGAGAUGAGGAGAAUAGCCUCUCCAAGCUUAGGGUCUCAACAUUGACCUAAAAAAUAUAUAUGUCUUAAAAACGUGUUGGGCCUUCAUUAAACAUAGGCGAAAGUUUGGGCCGAAUUUGGAGAUCUUCAAAACAUCAAUAAGUUACGUCUUCGAAUUGCCGUCAUGUAUUGAUGUCGCUCGACACCAGGAUUGG